rnacentral:rRNA from 1 species
UGGGGAAUAUUGCACAAUGGAGGGAACUCUGAUGCAGCGACGCCGCGUGAGUGAUGAAGGACUUCGUUUCGUAAAACUCUGUUCUAUGGGAAGAAAAGGACUGUACCAUAGGAGAAAGCUCCGGCUAAAUACGUGCCAGCAGCCGCGGUAAUACGUAUGGAGCGAGCGUUGUCCGGAAUUAUUGGGCGUAAAGGGUGCGCAGGCGGCUUUACAAGUUGGAUGUGAAAUAUUGUGGCUCAACCACAAACGUGCAUCCAAAACUGCAAAGCUUGAGUUAAGGAGAGGUAAGUGGAAUUCCUGGUGUAGCGGUGGAACGCGUAGAUAUCAGGAGGAAUACCGGUGGCGAAGGCGACUUACUGGACUUAAACUGACGCUCAGGGACGAAAGCGUGGGGAGCAAACAGG